CCCCUAGACGUUCUGGGCUGCACGCGCGCUACAAUAAUACGCACAGCGAGUAUCACCGAGCUCGAAAGGGCAAGGUAAACAAUAGAAAAGGUACUGUAAUGGUUAUAGAUCCUUGUAAUUAUUGAUCUUCAACGAGGAAUUCCUAGUAAGUAUGUGUCAUCAUCACGCACUGAUUACGUCCCUGCCCUUUGUACACACCGCCCGUCGCUACUACCGAUUGAAUGGUUUAGUGAGGCCUUCUGACUGGCGCCGCUACUCUGGCAACAGAGCGGCGGAUGCCGGGAAGUUGGUCAAACUUGAUCAUUUAGAGGAAGUAAAAGUCGUAACA
rnacentral:rRNA from 1 species